UGCGCAGGCGGUUUUGUAAGACAGGCGUGAAAUCCCCGGGCUCAACCUGGGAAUGGCGUUUGUGACUGCAAGGCUAGAGUAUGGCAGAGGGGGGUAGAAUUCCACGUGUAGCAGUGAAAUGCGUAGAGAUGUGGAGGAAUACCGAUGGCGAAGGCAGCCCCCUGGGCCAAUACUGACGCUCAUGCACGAAAGCGUGGGGAGCAAACAGGAUUAGAUACCCUGGUAGUCCACGCCCUAAACGAUGUCAACUAGGUGUUGGGUGGGUAAAACCAUUUAGUACCGGAGCUAACGCGUGAAGUUGACCGCCUGGGGAGUACGGGCCGCAAGGUUAAA
rnacentral:rRNA from 1 species